GACUUGUUCCACUUAUUUAUGCAUUUAUUCGUCUCUUCUCCUAUGUGCCCUGACCUGGGAUUGAACCUCGUCGUGUCGGGAGGAAGCCCUAACCGGCCGCCGGCCGGGGCCUUGUGAAAACUCUUAAUCCUAAGUGUUGUUUUACAUGUGAAGCAAGAACAGAAAGUAGACUGUAAAUUUAUCGAAACCAAGAACUAUUUCGUUGCCUGUUGUGUCCCCCGGUCUUGACACUCAGCAGAGAUUCCGUAAGUACUGAAUUGUCUGCGUGACCUCUUCGGCCUCUAGUCUGAUGCUCUUCAGGCCACCUUGCACCCUGCUGAAUGUGUUUCCUCCCAAGUCAGGUAGACAUCAGCCCAGAUCCCACCUGAGCUACAUAAUAGCCCUGUGUUAACUGGCUGAACUGUGUCUCCCUCCAAAACUGUGUUGAAGCCCUAACCCCCAGUAACUCAGAAUGUGAUUGUAUUUGGA